CAGAAACCAUGUUGUCUGUAACUCUGCUGCUGCUGUUGGCAGCUGGAUCCUGUGUGAAGUGUGAACAGUUGACUCAGCCAGAAUCUGUGACUGUGCAGCCAGGUCAACGUCUCUCCAUCACCUGUCAGGUCUCUUAUUCUGUUAGUGGCUACUGGACAGCUUGGAUCAGACAACCUGCAGGAAAAGGACUGGAGUGGAUUGGACAAAGAGUUAGUACCACGACAUACUACAAAGAUUCACUGAAGAACAAGUUCAGUAUCGAAUUAGACUCUUCCAGCAAAACAGUGACUCUAAAUGGACAGAAUAUGCAGCCUGAAGACUCUGCUGUGUAUUACUGUGCCAGAGACACACAGUGACACAAAUGAUCAGUAGACCUGAACAAAAACCCCUCAGAGCCUGAACACUGUAACAUGAAGCCACCAGAGGAGGAGCCCUCA